UCCGGUGACCAUAUCUGGAAGGCUACACCCGUUCCCUUUUCGAACACGGCCGUUAAGCUUCCAGAGCCGAUGGUAGUACUGCAAGUGCGAGAGUAGGUGUUGCCGGGU
rnacentral:rRNA from 1 species